rnacentral:rRNA from 1 species
GGGAAUAUUGCACAAUGGGCGAAAGCCCGAUGCAGCAACGCCGCGUGAGUGAUGACGGUCUUCGGAUUGUAGAGCUCUGUCUUUGGGGACGAUAAUGACGGUACCCAAGGAGGAAGCCACGGCUAACUACGUGCCAGCAGCCGCGGUAAUACGUAGGUGGCAAGCGUUGUCCGGAUUUACUGGGCGUAAAGGGUGCGUAGGCGGACCUUUAAGUGAGAUGUGAAAUCCCCGAGCUUAACUUGGGGGCUGCAUUUCAAACUGGAGGUCUAGAGUGCAGGAGAGGAGAGUGGAAUUCCUAGUGUAGCGGUGAAAUGCGUAGAGAUUAGGAAGAACACCAGUGGCGAAGGCGACUCUCUGGACUGUAACUGACGCUGAGGCACGAAAGCGUGGGGAGCAAACAG